rnacentral:rRNA from 1 species
GAUGAACGCUGGCGGCGUGCCUAAUACAUGCAAGUCGAGCGAACGGACGAGAAGCUUGCUUCUCUGAUGUUAGCGGCGGACGGGUGAGUAACACGUGGAUAACCUACCUAUAAGACUGGGAUAACUUCGGGAAACCGGAGCUAAUACCGGAUAAUAUUUUGAACCGCAUGGUUCAAUAGUGAAAGACGGUCUUGCUGUCACUUAUAGAUGGAUCCGCGCUGCAUUAGCUAGUUGGUAAGGUAACGGGUUACCAAGGCAACGAUGCAUAGCCGACCUGAGAGGGUGAUCGGCCACACUGGAACUGAGACACGGACCAGACUACUAAGAGACGCAGCAGUAGGGAAUCUUCCGCAAUGGGCGAAAGUCUGACGGAGCAACGCCGCGUGAGUGAUGAAGGUCUUCGGAUCGUAAAACUCUGUUAUUAGGGAUGAACAGAUGUGGAAGUAACUGUGCACAUCUUGACGGUACCUAGUCAGAAAGCCACGGCUAACUACGUG